CUUGCGCGUAGUGUUCACAGACCGUGAAGAAGCUCCACCCCAAACACAGAGGCACUGCUUGCUUUGGCCCCAAAACCCUGGUGCAGGACCUAGGGGACGUAGGGCGGCAGGACGAACAUUGGCCCGGCCCUCGCCUCCUCCUGUGACCCCGCAACCCCUCACCUCCCGCGGGGAGAAGAGGCGUAAGAAAAAGAUGGAUUAUUCAAUCAAAGGUGUUGGGAAAUCUGGAGAGCCAUCUAGAAAAAAAGUAAAUUGGAUCAACACUUCAUGCUUUGUAUCAAAAUAAACUACUUAUGGAGCGUUACAUGUAAAUGCUUGUUCCCUGGUGCCACAAAGAAAUAGCACUUCAACAUAAAUUUAAUCCUCUUAGCAAGGCAAUCUUUACUUUCUGCAGAAAGGGUGCUCAUUGCCGAUGGAAUAAUGGCGAAAGCAUACCUGAACAAAGGAGGGAAGCAAUUUUUAUUCCUUACGCAGUUUGUCCCUGCUACUGUGUCCUGUCUCCAUUGGCUGGAGCCAGACCACACAAUCUAAACUAAAACCUGAUUGGCUAACAGUUUAAAACUUUUCUAAAUAGGUGAAAGGAAUGGAAAGACAAAGGAAAAGAGGAAAUUGCUUAUGCCAAAUAAGGAAGGGGCAUAGGCUGCGAGCUGGAACGUGCCUGUGAGCAUGUCCAGCACAAAUAUUUUGCUUAAGGUACAAGGACAUAGAAUGUACUACGUGCCUGUGAGCAUGUUUAACAGCUACGUAGGAUAGAGCCUAACAAAAAGUUAUUAGCAUACAGUAAGGAGGCUUAAAGGAAGUUAGUCUUUAAAAAAAAAACUAUUAUUUCUAACACUUAUGAUUUAUUCCUUAACAAGAAGGGAAAGUUUAAAGAGGAACUUUUUACUUUCUACAUGGAGGAAAGAUUGAAAUAUGAAAAGUGAAAGCACAAAAGUACUAGAUGAGAACAUGGGAGAAUUUUAUUUUAUUUUUUUUGAGACAGAGUUUUGCUCUUGUUGCCCAUGCUGGAGUUCAAUGGCGCAAUCUCGGCUCACUGCAACCUCUGCCUCCCAAAUUCAAACAAUUCUCCUGCCUCAGCCUCCCAGAGUAGCUGGGAUUACAGGCAUGUGCCAUCACACCCGGCUAAUUUUGUAUUUUUAGUAGAGACGAGGUUUCUCCAUGUUGGUCAGGCUGGUCUUGAACUCCUGACCGAGGUGGGUGAGCCACUCACCUCGGCCUCCCAAAGUGCUGGGAUUACAGGUGUGAGCCACCAUGCCCGGUCAAAAAUUUUUAUAUAUAUACAAUCUUGCUAUGGACAAGCUUUCCUCAGGAUGGUAAAGCAAACACACAAAUAAAUAAAUAAAAUAAGAAGCGGUCAAAGAAAAUGUUAAUAGGCCAGGCGCAGUGCCUCACACCUGUAAUACUAGCACUUUGG
rnacentral:lncRNA from 10 species